rnacentral:rRNA from 1 species
UACAGAGGGUGCAAGCGUUAAUCGGAAUGACUGGGCGUAAAGCGCACGUAGGUGGUUUGUUAAGUUAGGUGUGAAAGUCCUGGGCUCAACCUGGGGAGGUCAUCUAAUACUGGCAGACUAGAGUACAGUAGAGGGAAGUGGAAUUUCCGGUGUAGCGGUGAAAUGCGUAGAUAUCGGAAGGAACAUCAGUGGCGAAGGCGACUUCCUGGACUGAUACUGACACUGAGGAGCGAAAGCGUGGGUAGCGAACGGG